ACGGCUCAGUAACACGUAGAGAACAUACCGUAUGCUGGGGGAUAAUCUCGGGAAACUGAGGAUAAUACCCCAUAGUUCAGAUCUCCUGGAACGGUUUCUGGACGAAAGCUCCGGCGGCAUACGAUUGCUCUGCGGCCUAUCAGGUUGUAGGGAGGGUAACGUCCUCCCUAGCCUUCGACGGGUAUGGGUGUUGGGAGACAUCGCCCAGAGAUGGACUCUGAGACACGAGUCCAGGCCCUACGGGGCGCAGCAGGCGCGAAAACUGCACAAUGCGGGAAACCACGAUGCGGGAACCCCAAGUGUCUGCACAAUGUGUAGACUGUCCCCAAGCGUUCAUGGCUUGGGAAGAAAGUGCUGGGUAAGACGGGUGCCAGCCGCCGCGGUAAUACCCGCAGCACGAGUGGUGGUCACUAUUAUUGGGCCUAAAGCGUCCGUAGCCGGUUGGGUAAAUGCCUGGGUAAAUCGAUGCGCUCAACGUAUCGAAUUCCGGGUAGACUGCUCGACUUGAGACCGGGAGAGGUGUGAGGUACUCGGGGGGUAGGGGUAAAAUCCUGUAAUCCUCCGGGGACCACCAGUGGCGAAGGCGUCACACUGGAACGGUUCUGACGGUGAGGGACGAAGCCCUGGGGCGCAAACCGGAUUAGAUACCCGGGUAGUCCAGGGUGUAAACGCUGCUGACUUGGUGUCGGAGGUCCUACGAGGGCUUUCGGUGCCGGAGAGAAGUUGUUAAGUCAGCCGCCUGGGGAGUACGGUCGCAAGACUGAAACUUAAAGGAAUUGGCGGGGGAG
rnacentral:rRNA from 1 species